GCAGUGGGGAAUAUUGGACAAUGGGCGCAAGCCUGAUCCAGCCAUGCCGCGUGGGUGAUGAAGGCCCUAGGGUUGUAAAGCCCUUUCGGCGGGGAAGAUAAUGACGGUACCCGCAGAAGAAGCCCCGGCUAACUUCGUGCCAGCAGCCGCGGUAAUACGAAGGGGGCUAGCGUUGCUCGGAAUCACUGGGCGUAAAGGGUGCGUAGGCGGGUCUUUAAGUCAGGGGUGAAAUCCUGGAGCUCAACUCCAGAACUGCCUUUGAUACUGAAGAUCUUGAGUCCGGGAGAGGUGAGUGGAACUGCGAGUGUAGAGGUGAAAUUCGUAGAUAUUCGCAAGAACACCAGUGGCGAAGGCGGCUCACUGGUCCGGUACUGACGCUGAGGUGCGAAAGCGUGGGGAGCAAACAGGAUUAGAUACCCUAGUAGUCCAC
rnacentral:rRNA from 1 species